CCUACGGGAGGCAGCAGUAGGGAAUCUUUCACAAUGGGCGAAAGCCUGAUGGAGCAACGCCGCGUGCAGGAUGAAGGCCUUCGGGUUGUAAACUGCUUUUAUAAGCGAGAAAUAUGAUGGUAACUUAUGAAUAAGGAUCGGCUAACUACGUGCCAGCAGCCGCGGUCAUACGUAGGAUCCGAGCAUUAUCCGGAGUGACUGGGUGUAAAGAGUUGCGUAGGUGGCAUAAUAAGUAGCUAGUGAAAUCUGGUGGCUCAACCAUUCAGACUAUUAGCUAAACUGUUAAGCUCGAGACCGUUAGGGGUAACUGGAAUUUCUAGUGUAGGAGUGAAAUCCGUAGAGAUUAGAAGGAACACCAAUAGCGUAGGCAGGUUGCUGGGACGGUACUGACACUAAGGCACGAAAGCGUAGGGAGCAAACGGGAUUAGAUACCCUAGUAGUC
rnacentral:rRNA from 1 species